CCAUGAAAAAGGAUGAUGCCCCCAUUCUCCAAGUCACCUAAAAAGAAGGAAGGGGCAUCCAAGAGUUGGAUGACCCAAAACUCCACAUGUUAAGCCCUUAUUUCAUGCCCUUUAGAAGGGGGUUUCAAGGGGCUUUUGCUUGCUGGUACUUAGGCAUAAAAGAGAGGGUCCUCUACUAGUUUUGAGUAGAAAAAUUAGAGAAGAAAGGUUCUUCCCAAUGAGAGGA
rnacentral:lncRNA from 1 species